GAUGAACGCUGACAGAAUGCUUAACACAUGCAAGUCAACUUGAACUUCGGUUUGGGUGGCGGACGGGUGAGUAACGCGUAAAGAACUUGCCUCACAGAUAGGGACAACAUUUGGAAACGAAUGCUAAUACCUGAUAUUAUGAUUAUAUGGCAUCGUAUAAUUAUGAAAGCUAUAUGCGCUGUGAGAGAGCUUUGCGUCCCAUUAGCUAGUUGGAGAGGUAACGGCUCACCAAGGCGAUGAUGGGUAGCCGGCCUGAGAGGGUGAUCGGCCACAAGGGGACGGAGACACGGCCCUUACUCCUACGGGAGGCAGCAGUGGGGAAUAUUGGACAAUGGACCAAGAGUCUGAUCCAGCACUUCUGUGUGCACGAUGAAGUUUUUCGGAAUGUAAAGUGCUUUCAGUUGGGAAGAAAAAAAUGACGGUACCAACAGAAGAAGUGACGGCUAAAUACGUG
rnacentral:rRNA from 1 species